rnacentral:rRNA from 1 species
UACGUAGGCAGCGAGCGUUGUUCGGAAUUACUGGGCGUAAAGAGUGCGUAGGUGGUUGGCUAAGUCUAGUGUGAAAUCUCCCGGCUUAACUGGGAGGGUGCGCUGGAAACUGGCUGGCUAGAGUAUGGGAGAGGAGAGCGGAAUUCCUGGUGUAGCGGUGAAAUGCGUAGAUAUCAGGAGGAACACCUGUGGUGUAGACGGCUCUCUGGACCAUUACUGACACUGAGGCACGAAAGCGUGGGGAGCAAACAGG